AAGGCUUGACCUCAAAUCA
rnacentral:rRNA from 2 species